CAGUCACCUGAAAUAUUAUUUCGAGCAUCUGGAAAGUCAGGCUGCACUCCUCCAUUAGACUCGGUUUUCAUGGAUGCCUUUUUAUUUAAUUCAUUUAUUUAUUUAUUUCACUAAUUUAUUUAUUUAUUUUUAAUGUGUCUGUGUCUUCACAAUGAGGGUGAUGUGACAUUGCUUCAAACGUCUGUUUUAUGUAUUCUGUUGGAGGGCUCAGCUGACAACAGUAUUGAUGAUGAUGAUGAUGAUGUUUGUUUUUUAAUCACAUUUUUUACAUUCUAACAAAGACAAACACUAUUAUAUCACGUGUUCAUAGAGGACGGUUAAUCCUUCAGUGUUGGCCGUUGGCUGGAGAUGCUACACUUACUCUCAGGACAUUCUCACCUUUCUGUCAGACCAAAACGUAAUAUUCUACUCACCUGCUACAUAAAAAGUGAUGGAGCGCUUCGUUUCAGUUCAUUACUUUUCUCUUAAAGCCUCAAAUUAAAGCAAAUCCUUUUUCUGACCCAAGAUUUUUAUUCAACGCUGAAGAAUCUGCCGGUAGCACGUACGGUUUUAAAAUGGCAUUUGUAUAGAUUUUAUUAGAGUUUUUUUGGUGGUCAUUUGAUGUAUUACUCAAUUGACGCCUCGAUUCCAGAGGUCCGCGUCAAAGCUUUUAGCAAUAUUUGCAUACUGGAAAAGAGACUGAGAGAUGACAUUGCCAAGAAACCGAGCGGAAAAGAAGGAAGUUUACAAUUGCUGAAUUCAUGGCCACUUAACUGAAGUUUAUUUCCAAAAAAAAGCGUGUGUGGAGUGUGUGAUCAGUAUUUCAUUCUCAGUGUUUGUAGGUGGUCUAUCCAGACCCUUCCUGCAAUCCUCAUCAUGGUUAACCUUGUGAUUGUGUGUUUAGUAGUUACUCCACGCAGCUCGCUUUAGUUGAAUAUUAAUAAUAAUGUUAAUAAUAAGUGUUCAAUCAGAUGUUAACGCCAAUCUGAGUCCUGCAGGGUCGUGAGGUGAGAAGCUUGUUUUUAUGGAAACUGAGAAGAAAUCAUUAUCCAGAUAGUGUAUAUUACUUAACUAUUAUGCCUUUUCUAUUUUUAUAGAGGUUUUAUAAUAUUGCCUAAAUAAUUUCUCUGAAUUAAAACGGUUGUUUAA
rnacentral:lncRNA from 1 species